AGCAGCCGCCGCGGGAAUACAGAGGGUGCGAGCGUUAAUCGGAUUUACUGGGCGUAAAGCGUGCGUAGGCGGCUUCUUAAGUCGGAUGUGAAAUCCCUGAGCUUAACUUAGGAAUUGCAUUCGAUACUGGGAAGCUAGAGUAUGGGAGAGGAUGGUAGAAUUCCAGGUGUAGCGGUGAAAUGCGUAUAGAUCUGGAGGAAUACCGAUGGCGAAGGCAGCCAUCUGGCCUAAUACUGACGCUGAGGUACGAAAGCAUGGGGAGCAAACAGGAUUAGAUACCCCGGUAGUCCCUGUCUCUUAUAC
rnacentral:rRNA from 1 species